rnacentral:rRNA from 2 species
UGCAAGUCGAACGAAGCUUUCUUUCACCGAAUGCUUGCAUUCACCGAAAGAAGCUUAGUGGCGAACGGGUGAGUAACACGUAGGCAACCUGCCCAAAAGAGGGGGAUAACACUUGGAAACAGGUGCUAAUACCGCAUAACCAUGAACACCGCAUGAUGUUCAUGUAAAAGACGGCUUUUGCUGUCACUUUUGGAUGGGCCUGCGGCGUAUUAACUUGUUGGUGGGGUAACGGCCUACCAAGGUGAUGAUACGUAGCCGAACUGAGAGGUUGAUCGGCCACAUUGGGACUGAGACACGGCCCAAACUCCUACGGGAGGCAGCAGUAGGGAAUCUUCCACAAUGGACGAAAGUCUGAUGGAGCAACGCCGCGUGAAUGAAGAAGGCCUUCGGGUCGUAAAAUUCUGUUGUCAGAGAAGAACGUGCGUGAGAGUAACUGUUCACGUAUUGACGGUAUCUGACCAGAAAGCCACGGCUAACUACGUGCCAGCAGCCGCGGUAAUACGUAGGUGGCGAGCGUUGUCCGGAUUUAUUGGGCGUAAAGGGAACGCAGGCGGUCUUUUAAGUCUGAUGUGAAAGCCUUCGGCUUAACCGAAGUAGUGCAUUGGAAACUGGAAGACUUGAGUGCAGAAGAGGAGAGUGGAACUCCAUGUGUAGCGGUGAAAUGCGUAGAUAUAUGGAAGAACACCAGUGGCGAAAGCGGCUCUCUGGUCUGUAACUGACGCUGAGGUUCGAAAGCGUGGGUAGCAAACAGGAUUAGAUACCCUGGUAGUCCACGCCGUAAACGAUGAGUGCUAAGUGUUGGAGGGUUUCCGCCCUUCAGUGCUGCAGCUAACGCAUUAAGCACUCCGCCUGGGGAGUACGGUCGCAAGACUGAAACUCAAAGGAAUUGACGGGGGCCCGCACAAGCGGUGGAGCAUGUGGUUUAAUUCGAAGCAACGCGAAGAA